rnacentral:rRNA from 1 species
AGUGAACGCUGGCGGUAGGCCUAACACAUGCAAGUCGAACGGCAGCACAGUAAGAGCUUGCUCUUACGGGUGGCGAGUGGCGGACGAGUGAGGAAUACAUCGGAAUCUACUUUUUCGUGGGGGAUAACGUAGGGAAACUUACGCUAAUACCGCAUACGACCUACGGGUGAAAGCAGGGGAUAUUCGGACCUUGCGCGAUUGAAUGAGCCGAUGUCGGAUUAGUUAGUUGGCGGGGUAAAGGCCCACCAAGGCGACGAUCCGUAGCUGGUCUGAGAGGAUGAUCAGCCACACUGGAACUGAGACACGGUCCAGACUCCUACGGGAGGCAGCAGUGGGGAAUAUUGGACAAUGGGCGCAAGCCUGAUCCAGCCAUACCGCGUGGGUGAAGAAGGCCUUCGGGUUGUAAAGCCCUUUUGUUGGGAAAGAAAAGCAGCAGGUUAAUACCCCGCUGUUCUGACGGUACCCAAAGAAUAAGCACCGGCUAACUUCGUG